CGGCCGGGUGCUAAUACAUGCAAGUCGAGCGGAGGAGCAGCAAUGCUUCUUAGCGGCGAACGGGUGAGUAACGCGUUGGUGACCUGCCCCGAAGUGUGGGAUAGCAGUUCGAAAGGACUGAUAAUACCGCAUGAAUUCUCAGAGAUUAGAGGCUUUGAGAGAAAAGGAGAAAUUCGCUUCGGGAGGGGCCUGCGUCCCAUCAGCUAGUUGGUAAGGUAACGGCCUACCAAGGCGAUGACGGGUAGGGGACCUGAGAGGGUGGCCCCCCACAAUGGAACUGAAACACGGUCCAUACACCUACGGGUGGCAGCAGUAGGGAAUAUUGCAUAAUGGGCGCAAGCCUGAUGCAGCAACGCCGCGUGUGCGAUGAAGGCCUUCGGGUCGCAAAGCACUUUUAGCAGGGAUGAGGAAGGACAGUACCUGCUGAAUAAGCCUCGGCUAACUACGUGCCAGCAGCCGCGGUAAAACGUAGGAGGCGAGCGUUAUCCGGAUUUACUGGGUGUAAAGCGUGUGCAGGCGGUACGGUAAGUUGGAUGUGAAAGCUCCUGGCUUAACUGGGAGAGGUCGUUCAAAACUACCGAACUUGAGUAUGGGAGAGGGAGGCGGAAUUCCGGGUGUAGUGGUGAAAUGCGUAGAUAUCCGGAGGAACACCAGUGGCGAAAGCGGCCUCCUGGCCCAAAACUGACGCUCAGACACGAAAGCUAGGGGAGCGAACGGGAUUAGAGACCCCGGUAGUCCUAGCUGUAAACGAUGUGAACUUGGCGUCGGCGGGUUUAAAUCCGUCGGUGCCGAAGCUAACGCGAUAGUUCACCACCUGGGGACUACGGCCGCAAGGUUAAAACUCAAAGGAAUUGGAC
rnacentral:rRNA from 1 species